rnacentral:miRNA from 1 species
ACUUGAGACGGACUGUAUUAAAAA